rnacentral:misc_RNA from 1 species
AAGUCGUAACAAGGUUUCCGUAGGUGAACCUGCGGAAGGAUCAUUACCAAUAUAGCGAACCGAGCGUCAGCGAGGCUUCGCGAUCAAAUUUGUAUUUAAAACCCAACUCUUUAAAUGUAUAUUAUUAUUGUAUUUUAAAUAAUAAAAAGAUCACUUUCAACAACGGAUCUCUUGGCUCUC